CGACGUCAUGACCUGCUGUCCUGCAGGAUUCUGGUGCUAGGACGUAAUAUAUAUUCAUUCCUCAAGGAAAGUUCAAAACUUGUCUCCUGAGUCUGCAGUGUCAUGUCAUAUUUUGUUUUACAGUAAAUUGUCAAAGAUUUGGUUCUUACGUUUCAGUGGUAGAAGAUAAGAAACAGAAUGGUGUAGAUAGCAGAGACUACACAUGAUCUUAAAGUUGUUUGUUGUACAGGUAACUCUUUGUUUGGACAUCAAAAGCUCGAACAUCAAGAUGAAAAUCUUGUUCCUAUUGGUCACCUUCUGUGCUGGACUUUGUCUGUCUCAAUUGGUGGUUCCACAAAUAAAUGUUUGUGAGUAUUGUCAGGCAGGAAAAGUUCAAUGUUUAAAUAACUGUAUUUCCAUGGCGACGCUCUCUAACCCCGACGCCUACGUGAACGGACUAUUCUGUAUCUGUGGUGACAACAAGGUCUGCAAGGAUCUAUGUGCCCCUCUACUUGGGCAAAUAGGAAUUUAGAAUGUGGUGUGCAUGUAAUCACAUUCAGGUGUUCCAGUUCUUUGUAUUCAACCAGAUCCUUGAAGGCAGACUUGCCGUGAGAAAAUAAACAUUCACUUUCACAA